rnacentral:rRNA from 1 species
CCUACGGGAGGCAGCAGUCGAGAAUCAUUCACAAUGGGGGAAACCCUGAUGGUGCGACGCCGCGUGGGGGAAUGAAGGUCUUCGGAUUGUAAACCCCUGUCAUGUGGGAGCAAAUUAAAAAGAUAGUACCACAAGAGGAAGAGACGGCUAACUCUGUGCCAGCAGCCGCGGUAAUACAGAGGUCUCAAGCGUUGUUCGGAAUCACUGGGCGUAAGGCGUGCGUAGGCUGUUUCGUAAGUCGGGUGUGAAAGGCGCGGGCUCAACCCGCGGACGGCACAUGAUACUGCGAGACUAGAGUAAUGGAGGGGGAACCGGAAUUCUCGGUGUAGCAGUGAAAUGCGUAGAUAUCGAGAGGAACACUCGUGGCGAAGGCGGGUUCCUGGACAUUAACGGACGCUGAGGCACGAAGGCCAGGGGAGCGAAAGGGAUUAGAUACCCUGGUAGUC